rnacentral:tRNA from 1 species
GCGCUGGUGGCUCGGUGGUAGAAUUCUCACCUUCCAUGUGGCAGACGUGGGUUCGAUUCCUGGCCAGUGCA